CCCUUAGAUGUCCGGGGCUGCACGCGCGCUACACUGAAGGAAUCAGCGUGCUAAAACCAUUGUCGAAAGGCAUUGGUAAACCCAUUAAAAUCCUACGUGAUUGGGAUCGGGAAUUGCAAUUAUUUCCCUUGAACGAGGAAUUCCCAGUAAGUGUGGGUCAUAAGCUCGCGUUGAUUACGUCCCUGCCCUUUGUACACACCGCCCGUCGCUGCCCGGGACUGAGCCGUUUCGAGAAAAGCGGGGACUGCUGCUGUCGGGGCUUUCGGGCCUUGGCUUCGGUGGAAACCGCUUUAAUCGCGGUGGCUUGAACCGGGCAAAAGUCGUAACA
rnacentral:rRNA from 1 species